AGAGUUUGAUCCUGGCUCAGGAUGAACGCUGGCGGCGUGCUUAACACAUGCAAGUCGAACGGAGUACCCUUGAAGGAGUUUUCGGACAACUGAUAGGACUACUUAGUGGCGGACGGGUGAGUAACGCGUGAGUAACCUGCCUUGGAGUGGGGAAUAACAGCUGGAAACAGCUGCUAAUACCGCAUAAUGCAGUUGGGUCGCAUGGCUCUGACUGCCAAAGAUUUAUCGCUCUGAGAUGGACUCGCGUCUGAUUAGCUAGUUGGCGGGGUAACGGCCCACCAAGGCGACGAUCAGUAGCCGGACUGAGAGGUUGGCCGGCCACAUUGGGACUGAGACACGGCCCAGACUCCUACGGGAGGCAGCAGUGGGGAAUAUUGGGCAAUGGGCGCAAGCCUGACCCAGCAACGCCGCGUGAAGGAAGAAGGCUUUCGGGUUGUAAACUUCUUUUCUCAGGGACGAAGAAAGUGACGGUACCUGAGGAAUAAGCCACGGCUAACUACGUGCCAGCAGCCGCGGUAAUACGUAGGUGGCAAGCGUUAUCCGGAUUUACUGGGUGUAAAGGGCGUGUAGGCGGGGAAGCAAGUCAGAUGUGAAAACCACGGGCUCAACCUGUGGCCUGCAUUUGAAACUGUUUUUCUUGAGUACUGGAGAGGCAGACGGAAUUCCUAGUGUAGCGGUGAAAUGCGUAGAUAUUAGGAGGAACACCAGUGGCGAAGGCGGUCUGCUGGACAGCAACUGACGCUGAGGCGCGAAAGCGUGGGGAGCAAACAGGAUUAGAUACCCUGGUAGUCCACGCUGUAAACGAUGGAUACUAGGUGUGGGGGGGGCUGACCCCCUCCGUGCCGCAGUUAACACAAUAAGUAUCCCACCUGGGGAGUACGAUCGCAAGGUUGAAACUCAAAGGAAUUGACGGGGGCCCGCACAAGCGGUGGAGUAUGUGGUUUAAUUCGAAGCAACGCGAAGAACCUUACCAGGGCUUGACAUCCCGAUGACCGCUCUAGAGAUAGAGUUUUCUCUUCGGAGACAUCGGUGACAGGUGGUGCAUGGUUGUCGUCAGCUCGUGUCAUGAGAUGUUGGGUUAAGUCCCGCAACGAGCGCAACCCUUAUUGUUAGUUGCUACGCAAGAGCACUCUAGCGAGACUGCCGUUGACAAAACGGAGGAAGGUGGGGACGACGUCAAAUCAUCAUGCCCCUUAUGUCCUGGGCCACACACGUACUACAAUGGUGGUCAACAGAGGGAAGCAAUACCGCGAGGUGGAGCAAAUCCCUAAAAGCCAUCCCAGUUCGGAUCGCAGGCUGCAACCCGCCUGCGUGAAGUUGGAAUCGCUAGUAAUCGCGGAUCAGCAUGCCGCGGUGAAUACGUUCCCGGGCCUUGUACACACCGCCCGUCACACCAUGAGAGUCGGGAACACCCGAAGUCCGUAGCCUAACCGCAAGGGGGGCGCGGCCGAAGGUGGGUUCGAUAAUUGGGGUGAAGUCGUAACAAGGUAACC
rnacentral:rRNA from 1 species